GUGAACCUGCGGAAGGAUCAUUAACGUAUUUCAUUUUAACGGAGAGACGACAUACACACCACUAUGUGUGCGUGUACUAUCAAUGUUAUAUAUGAUGAAUACAACAAACAAACCAUGUCUGGACUUGGGGUAACGAACCAUCAAUGCACACAAACACACACAACACAAGCGUUCCCACUCGCGGGGUUCUCCCGUCCGAGUGGUGUAUCCACGUACCGUGUGUGUGUGUGCAUAUCAUAAGUGUACGGGCCCAAGUCUUCAGAUAACUUGAACGCAUUUUACCGUUAUACACGUGAAGCAAGUUAAACAUAGUCGGCCUGCUUUGGUACCUACACAAUUUGGGUGUUGAUUAUGUUUUUUGACACAUAUUGACGCACUGAUAAAUUGUGACAGUUAUUCACGCAUAGGCAUACAGCUCGUUUUCUCUUCGGAGAUUGUCGAGGUAGUCUGUGACUCGUGUUUUUACUGAGGUUGUAAAGAUUCUUACCCUGGCUGAGUUUUUCUUGUGUGUAUAACGUGAUACCAUUUUGAACGCAUAUACCGCAUUCUGGAUGCGUUUUGGACGGCUGCUACAUGCUGAUCAUGCCGUACAACAUGGUGCGCGUUCAUCAUGACACUGCACAGCACAGCACAGAGCCAAUAUAUACACACACGUUACUGUCGUGUUUGCGAGUCCGCCAGACGUUAUACAGAGUUUAGAAGCGUUGUAUUCUGGUGUAUGAACGACUGUACAAAAAGUAUCGAUACAUUUAUGACAUUACCUGAAACACACAUUCACAACAUGCAUAAAGACUCCAUUGCGUGACGAGUGCAUUGUCUGGGUUUAUGUGGAUGUCAGUAUUCGUUACCAAGUAGUUAUCGUUCAGUUACCUCAGAUACAAAACGUUCUGGGUAUAUCGGAAAUGUACAAAAAGUAUUCGAUUUUGACAUUAAAA
rnacentral:misc_RNA from 1 species